rnacentral:misc_RNA from 1 species
GCUUUGCCCAUGAAGAGUGGUUUUACCCAUAAAGGGAGGCUCUCAGCUCAUAAAGUAGUGUUGUUGCCCAUUGCACUGUUAUCAAAGGGCACACCAGGCACAACAGGACAUUACCCGAAGGGAGGAAAGGUGCAGCACAUCACCGAGGCACAGGCCAAAAAAAAAUGGUAGGGUUUCUUUUAAAAGGCUGCCGCCAACAAUAGGUACCAAAGAAAA